GGGGCUGAUUCUGGAUUCGACGGGAUUUGCGAAACCCAAGGUGCAUGCCGAGGGGCGGUUGGCCUCGUAAAAAGCCGCAAAAAAUAGUCGCAAACGACGAAAACUACGCUUUAGCAGCUUAAUAACCUGCUUAGAGCCCUCUCUCCCUAGCCUGCGCUCUUAGGACGGGGAUCAAGAGAGGUCAAACCCAAAAGAGAUCGCGUGGAAGCCCUGCCUGGGGUUGAAGCGUUAAAACUUAAUCAGGCUAGUUUGUUAGUGGCGUGUCCGUCCGCAGCUGGCAAGCGAAUGUAAAGACUGACUAAGCAUGUAGUACCGAGGAUGUAGGAAUUUCGGACGCGGGUUCAACUCCCGCCAGCUCCACCA
rnacentral:tmRNA from 1 species